CGACAAUCAUUGGAGCUGGAUUGUGUCAGCUGCCAUCUUUAAGUUGUUUAAUUCGUUAUAUACACUGUGAAAUUAAUCGGUUGAAAUGCAAGGGGGUGAAACGAUUUUUAAGACAUUUAUGUGGUCGAUGGAAGCGCAAAUAAGCCUUACCAGAAUCUUCACAAACCUUAAGCUCUAUGAAACACGUUGAAUGCUGCUGAUAUGGUAACAAAGCGCUUUAGCAUUAUUAAAUAAAAUUGCUAGCAAAAUGUACAUCUACAUAAUUUGUUCUAAAAACUAAAUCACCUGGACAACAUUGAUUGCAGAAAGCUUAAAUUAUCGUCAGGGCAGACUCUAAAAGAGAAACAAACACAAACAAAUGCGUUUACGAUUAAGAUUCCAAUGAUCCGAAUGAAUGUAAGUCGGAGUGUGCAUGGUAAAUGCUGAUGAGGAAGCCAAACAGUGCAAGCAACUCCAAUGGUAUGUUCUGGCUUGAAUAUGUUUGUGUACGUUUGGAAUGAUUAAUUGAAAAAGUGUAAUAAGUGAAUGCAAUCCAAAGACAAUUCUAUCUAAAAAACAAUCGGUGAGAUGCAGGCACUAAACUAACGCCGUUUCACCUGCUUAUUUGAUGGAUUGUGUAAAUAUUUACUCAACUUACUGAUGCAGUUAAUGAUGGCAAAACUGAUGAAAUGAAUAACAAAAUUCUCAUUUCAUGCAAAUUUAGCUAUUUGCUAGUGCGUGAUCUGAGAUUGUUAAAUAAAAAUUUAAAAAAGAUUUAUUAUUCUUAUUUGGAAUAAUUAGAGUGAAAAUUAUAUUGUUUAUGCCAGUACAAAAAUACAAUUUUAUUAUAAGCAAAUUUGCGUCAU